GACGAACGCUGGCGGCGUGCCUAAUACAUGCAAGUCGAGCGCAGGAAGCCGUCUGAACCCUUCGGGGGGACGACGGUGGAAUGAGCGGCGGACGGGUGAGUAACACGUAAAGACCCUGCCCAUAGGUCUGGGAUAACCACGAGAAAUCGGGGCUAAUACCGGAUGUGUCAUCGGACCGCAUGGUCCGAUGAUGAAAGGCGCUCCGGCGUCGCCCAUGGAUGGCUUUGCGGUGCAUUAGCUAGUUGGUGAGGUAACGGCCCACCAAGGCGAUGAUGCAUAGCCGACCUGAGAGGGUGAUCGGCCACACGGGGACUGAGACACGGCCCAGACUCCUGCGGGAGGCAGCAGUAGGGAAUCUUCCACAAUGGACGAAAGUCUGAUGGGGCAACGCCGCGUGAACGAUGGGGGCUUUCGGGUCGUAAAGUUCUGUUGUAAGGGAAGAACAAGUGCCGCAGGCAAUGGCGGCACCUUGACGGUACCUUGCGAGAAAGCCACGGCUAACUACGUGCCAGCAGCCGCCGUAA
rnacentral:rRNA from 1 species